rnacentral:lncRNA from 1 species
AAGUACACACAUGAAUCCCCUGACAGCUUCUUUUCAUCAGCUCAGACUAAGAUGGUCUCUGUGCUUCCUGCCUUCAAGCCUUCCUGCAUGCGCCACGUGUGGAAGGAAUGUGGGCUUGUGUAAGGUCCUGCAGAAUUUGUCUCCAUCCUGGAUGGAUCCCUGCCACAGGCUAUUUUAUUACAGCUUCUAGAGUUGGAGUUGAGACUUGGUCUGUUGGAGGUUCCCUUUAGAAAAAUCCCAGUUCUGAAGAAGACAGGGGUGUGGUUCUCAGCCACUGUGCUAUCUGGAGGUGUUUUGCUUGUCACAGCUAAGGAAGAAAAGGGGAGGUGAGAGUAAGCCAUUGUACUAGAUAGGAUCCAGGAUAAAUUUCCCACAGUGCACAGAAGCAUCACACUGUGAAGGCUACCCUGCUCUUAGUCAGCCGGUUACCCUGCAUGUCUUCCAGGAAUACUCCCCAGUCUUUGGCUGACCAUGUUGCUUUAGGCGGGCAGGUCAGGCUCUAAGACUGUCUACACCUGCUUGCCUUUUAGCUUAUUUUAAUUAAUUCGACCAACUUUAACCAAAGGUUAUAACUAAAAUUUUUUAAAAAGUAAAUAAUACUGAACAGCUAAUUUUUAUCAGAAGUUUUGGUUUUGGUGGGUUUUUUUUGUUUUGUUUUGUUUUUUUCAUCCUUCCAAGUGCUUCAACUCUGCUAAGACAUUUAGUGCUCGUCAUAACCCUUUGUGGUGGCUGUUAGCUGGAUAACAUGUAGGCAGGUAUUUCCUCACUCUGAGCCUUGCCUGUUCCCCCCGCUGUGGUGAUGGUGUUUACUGAACUGAAUUUGUAAGUUUAGGGUGAAUUAAGUGAAGUAUAGUCUCAUAUUAGGAAUUGUACC